AAUGGGGGAAACCCUGACGCAGCAACGCCGCGUGGGCGACGAAGGUCUUCGGAUUGUAAAGCCCUGUCUUCUGGGACGAUAAUGACGGUACCAGAGGAGGAAGCCACGGCUAACUACGUGCCAGCAGCCGCGGUAAUACGUAGGUGGCAAGCGUUGUCCGGAAUUACUGGGCGUAAAGGGCGCGUAGGCGGCCUGUUAAGUCAGAUGUGAAACCCCCAGGCUCAACUUGGGGAUUGCAUAUGAAACUGAUGGGCUCGAGUGUCGGAGAGGAAAGCGGAAUUCCUAGUGUAGCGGUGAAAUGCGUAGAUAUUAGGAGGAACACCAGUGGCGAAGGCGGCUUUCCGGACGAUAACUGACGCUGAAGCACGAAAGCGUGGGGAUCAAA
rnacentral:rRNA from 1 species